CAUCUAAAUGCUUUAGUGACUUUAUAUGUGAAAUGGGUUUAGGAUUGCCAUAAAUGUUACAACUAGAAAUGCUCAAAUUUUCAAGCUUAGUUAGGUUGUUGAACCAAAAAGGCAAAAUCUUGAUAUUAUUAUGUGAAAGGUCAAGAGAAGUGAGAUUAGGAAAACCAUAAAACGUAGAGCCCAAGUUGGUAAACCUGUUGGAUUAUUAUUUGAAAGGUCAAGAGAAGUGAGAUUAGGAAAACCAUAAAACGUAGAGCCCAAGUUGGUAAACCUGUUGAAAGAAAGAUCAAGUCUUUGAAUAUGAGAUGAUGAACUUGUUACAGCAAUUGUUCCCCCUAGCUUAUUCUUGGAUA
rnacentral:lncRNA from 1 species